GGGAAUUAUCUCCAAGACAGAGCGAGAGUGGCGCCAGACCGGGCUAGAGCAACGGCCAGAGGAGAAGCGUGCUAAACCAGCGCCUCCUUUCCCCGGCUUGCGCGCGUUUUAUCACGUGACCACCUAUAGAUACUUGGGGCACCCAUCCAGGCACUAUACAUCUCGGCUCGCCCUCGUACACUUCCUUUAACGCGCACAGCUAACGGCGCAGGAUAGGAUCUUAUCGCACUUUAUACGUAAGCUCACGGCAACACCGACAGAUAUAUUUCGGCGGUUGUGUCCAUAUAAUUGCUAUCGCAAAAUUCGCAAUACAUAGAAAAUUUUACUAAGGACCAACCACGCUGCUGCCAUGUCGUGAUAGAGCGGUGAACGAUAGUUCUAGAAAAUGUGUUGCUAAAUCUCCGCCAAAUGACUAUACGCUCGCAUUUGGUGAGAGCGGCACACAGUCGCAAGAACUUGUGGAGGAAAUACCGGAGUUCUGGCAGCUUCAGGUGCACUAGAUCAUUCAGUAACAUGGGCGGCUUUGUAGUUCUACCUUACAUCAGAGCAAACUGCACUCGACAGAAAUCAAGGGCAGCCGCACCGUUAUAGCUAAGCAAAUUAAGGACAAUUACGCCGCGUCUUCAGACUUCGAGCACGCUCCGACAGCCCAGCGAUAGAUAUUUAAAACACAACCACACUCGGACGAGAAAAUUUUGCUUCUGCCAAGUGAACGUAGCGGGUAUUUCAAGACGCGUGUUAAAUUCAUGGCUGUUUCAUUCGUAAACAUUACUUAAGUGACGUAAAAUUAUCAGUGAGCAAAACAGUUUUUAUUUCAACGCAAGGAAACAAAACCGAAACUAGCGCAACUGUUUUGCCCAGUUGUGCAGAUACAAAAUGAUCCAAAGCCGAAGCCGUCAAUAGCAUGACGCCAUUUUGAACUUGUGCUGCAUCACGCGCGAGUACGUUGUCGUUGAGUGGUUCUGAAAUCGCUGCGUUAAGGGCGACUGCAACCAAGCGUUGUGGCAAGUUACGGUGGGAGCUUCUGUCCGUGCUGUGUGAUUGCGACGAGGGGACCGCCGCCAGCAGCAGCGUAUCGCCGAUAAGCGCCCGAAGUGCUGCGGUUUGCACUGCAUCUUUCAUUGUGAUAUGGGAGAUCGCAACGGACAGAGACGACCAGAUGCAUACGAACGACUACCAGCGGGGAGUGACCUGUGCCAUAUUUCUCUUAACGUCUCAGGUAUUCAAGAAAUGGCAACAGCCAGAAGUCACCAUCUUACCAGCACGUUAUGGGUACACUCUGGCGGCUCCUACCCCUGUGUCCUCCCACCACCCUGUCCUGACUACGUCCACUAGGUAGUUGGGAGCCUUUGGCGGCUUCUGCCACUGUAUCCUGCCGCCACCAUGUCCCGACUAUGUCCACUAGGGAGUUGGCAGCCUUAGUGAUGAUGCCAGCAGGCUGACAGCCGACAGAAAGAUUCAGGUUGCCUCGAAAUUUUACCCAAGCCAUGCCGCACACUCGGGCCAGGCCUUUUGCGAACGACGUAUAACCAGGCUCAACGCAUCAGGGUCGAGGGAGUCCGGAGAUCAAGGCAAUCUGCUGUGCAACCAGCGUGCAACCUUUGGUGACCCCGCUACAUGUGCUACCUAUUUCACAGCUGUGCCUCACCUACCAUCUAUCCAAACAGCAUCACCGGCUGUGAUCACUUAUCGAACCAUGGAUGAAUGUUGGGGUGGAGUGAUUUGAACAGACAUUCUAUUUGUCUCUUCAAAUUCUUUGUAAAUAUUUCUGUUAUAAUUCAUAUGUGUCUUUAGUAUCCCGUUUUUAAUAGUUCCUUUCUCUUAGAAUUCUCACCAUCAGCCCCUGCUAUUCUAAUGUAUACCUGCCUUUAAGCCCCGUUUCUCGUAGUUCUUUCGUACUUGUGGAUGUAAUUAAUAGGUUAUUAAUUCUUGUUGUACGGAAGGCUAAAAUACGAACUUACGGCAUUUUUUCUUCCUUUGAUAAUCUACAGCACUGCAAUGUGUUCAAGAAAUGUAACAUAACACGGGCUCUGGUGCAGGAUAAAUUUAAGAGCAAUAUAGAGUACUUAUUUCAAGCACCCAUUAUUUUUUUAAAAACUCAAGGAUAUAGGAGCACAAGAAAGAAACUAUUGAACUAGAGAAACAUUGGUUCCCCUCAUAAGUCUGGUAAUAAUGUGACUUCUUUCACUGCAAAGAUACUGGUACUCGCAUACAAGGUUUGAGACAUGAAAGCUAUGGUACCCUUGGCAUUUCUCAGUGCUUAUUUGCCACACUGACGAAUGUCAAAGGCAGCAUAGGUUUCAUGCACACAUUGGUUGUAUUACACCUUCUGAGUAUUGCAUUCCUCAAACACACGGGUUUGCAGCAGUGCUUUAAAUAGCAGAUGUAUUUCCUAAUUUUCAGAAUUUCUUAGUGCAAGAGUAACGCUACAGAUCAUGUAAAAAUAAUUUUACAGACUAUAUGUCCAUGGAUGCAUGUUUCUUCUGAUGACGUAGCAGUGCCAUGUGGUCGGGGGAUGAAUGUCUAUUUCAGAUUUAAAUAUUGGCUUCCAGGCCUCGGUUAGUCUCCUACACUGAGUAUUCUAGGUCAAAGCCCAGUUACUAGAGGAAAGUGAAUAAAACUAGGAAUUAUAAACAUCAAAAGAUCUUGUUCGGGACACUAAUGUAACAAUCAGCAAGGUUCUUUGUGCAUUCAUUUCCAGAUUUGCGAGAUUAUAUUUUGACUGGUUUCAUUAAUGCGAGAACAAAUAUUUGUUUAUUCUCAUGCUAGAGUUGGCUGCCCCCAUUCGCAUACAACCCCUUUACAGGCUAAAAAUUAAGUGUAUUAAUACGCUGUUUUUCGGUUUUGCGCCCUCAGUGUUAAGGGAUGCAAACGGUGACAUACAACAGAAUGCAGAAAAAUGUCUAAGGAAUGCAAGCAGGGCAUAGGACUUUUUAGACAGAUGCAUGCGUGUGCUAUUUAUAAAACUCCCUAUGGUAUGCCUCAAGGCGUUUUGUAACCCUUUGGUAGAGACACUGACACCCACUUAUUAAGGGGAAAUGCUCCUCGAAACAACUUUUUUAAUUUGUACUAGAAAUUUGAGUGUACUGCUAUUCAUAGGGAGUUUUAUGUAGAUUUGAAUUGUCAUUGUUUUUGUGUAGCUGGUGUUUAGUUAUGUCCUACAUAGUGGCAAUAUAUUUUUAUGGGCACUUGUGUGUAAAAGUUUCGCAAAUGGUUUCAUGCUGUAUCUUAUUUAGCUAGGUGUAUACCGCAAAGUGGCGAUACCUAUCCAAACAGCUUGUACAAAACUGGAAUUAUGCAAAAAAUAUUAGGCCACUUUAAAUAAUUUUUAGAUUGCAAUUUCAAUUAGAUACUGGUAUUCUGCUUAUCUUGAAGAGUAUGUAUGCCAAAUUUAAUUUGUAUAGGACAAUUAUAAAGCACGAGGUUAUUGUCAGCUAUUGUGAGAAAAAAUUAUUGAAGUAUUCUCAAUAAUUUUAGUAGCAGGCCUGCCUGCCUGCCUGCCUACUAAUCUUGCAUACUUCUAGUAACUUUACGUGCUGUUUGAAUAGAUAUCGGCACCUGGCAGUCUACAGGGAGCUGAGUUAGCUGCAGCACACUGCUUUUUUGUGAAAAUUUAAUACACAAGAAAGUUCCCGCAAAUAUCACUAUGUAUUUUGCCGUUGUAUAGGACAUAACUCAAGAAGCAGCUAAACAAAAACUAAUGGAAUAUAUGAAAUCUGCAUGAAGAACUCUACAAUUGGCUCUCUUUUGAAACCUCUAGUACAAAUAAUAAAAAUAUUUCGAGUAAUAUUCAAUCAGCAAAACGUUGCCCUUGCUACAGUGACCUACAACAUAGCGACGCAAAGCUUAAGGCAAGUCCUCUUGUCGAAGCGAAUAUGGGCUGUCUUCCCAAGGGCUUCUGUUAAAGACGGUGAAUUUUUCUGCAUUUACCAGAAGUGCAAUACUAAAAUGUUUGUGAAUGUGUGAUUGGUAUUGGCACACUAACAGAAAAAAAGACAGUUCUGUGAAAUGUAGACUUGAGACAUGACUUUGUUGGACAUUUAAAUUUUGACUCCAUAUAUUUGUGUUUUGUACUGAGUGUUUCACCGGUGACUGCCACUAAUUAUUGAACAUAACUGCUUCAUGACAGUGUGACAAUUUUCACUAACAUAAAUUUUAGCUGUGGCAGGCAUUAGAAUUACAGUACUCAAUAACGUCUACUUUGUAAGAACUCAGACUAGCACCAGUUCUGAGAUACAUAUACCCAAAAAGUAAUGAUCAAAUAGAUUUCUUUUCCACACAGAAUUGUCCUACAAGGAUUACAGAAGGCUUUUUGGCAAAGUAAUAUCCGAAAGAGCAAAGCAUGUUCCACCAAGUAUGGUGACAAAUAUUUCAGAUCUGCCAGUCUGAGGACUCCUACAAACUAACAAUACCUUCAGCACUGACUAGCUUCAAUAAUGGGAUGUCAGUGUUUUGCUAAAAUUAAUGAAACUUCAAUUAUUGUGAUCUUGUUCAAGAAGACAUAUGUAAUUAACAUGCAGUUCUAAUCUCUGUCACUUUUGUAAAUAUUUGCCAAUUAUUUUUUCAGGCUACAAUUUUUGGUAAUAAUGGUAUUCAUUGCAGAAAAAGCUAGUACAUGGCAUUUACAGGGUGUCUACCAACCGGGAAAACCGGGAAAACCGGGAAUUCUCAGGGAUUUUGAGUAGUCUGGAAAAAGUCAGGGAAAACUCAGGGAAUUUGGGCGUCUAUCAGGGAAAAUUAGCGGCACUUUUAUAGGAAGGGUCGAAAGUCGCGGUAAUGCUGGCUCGAGCAGCAGACAGGAAUCGCAGUGAAUCGUCUUUGACGCCCUGUGGUCGGCUGGAUGAGUUGCCAGUGUGCAGUCAAUGACGGACUUUCCGAAUUCCCGAUAAUUUGGACGGCUUCGCGGCACCGCCACGUACCCCAUAGAGUAAACGCAUCAGAACGUGUGAAAUUUCGGACGCAAGAACCCUUCGCCGUCCGAUUUUCCGGACGUUUUGUCGUGACCGCAGGUCCGAAGCGGCAAUAAUCAAAGGUACCACCGCUGCCGUUUCGAUUACUUCGCCACCUCGAACCGGCACUCUCGCGCGCAGAUCCGCUGGCAGCCGUUACCACCACUGCGGCAACGCUAGGCCUAGCUGCUUCGACGUUCGCUAUAAAGCUUCUUGCCGUUUGGUGCUGAGUUUUCUAUUGAAAGAAUUAGCUGCUGUCAGCAAUGGCACGGACUCCGCUUUUGUGGUCCUCGCGAUUGGCUUAAAAACUUAGAAAACACGGUGCGUUGCAUAAUGCCGGUUCCCGAAAGUCAGCUUCGCCUUUGUACAGAAGUGUUACGUGGUGAAGCAUACGCAAAGUAUUGCAGUGAAGCAUAACAAGCGUGGGAAGGGGCUAUUGCCACGGAAAACAGUAUGUAUUCCUUAAUUAUACACACGUGCACCCGGUAUUUCCUGUCACAGUACGAGCACCGAUAUGCCUAAUAUGUGUACCGACAGGCCUUCAGAGCGUUUUCGAACGUGCCUGUGGAGGUUUGAGCCCCUAAGGGCAGUAAAUGACACGCAUUAAUUUUUUUCCAACUGGCCGAUUUUUCGAACGUUUUCGCGACCCCUAGGGAGUUCUAAAAUCGGCCGCGGACUGUGCAACUGACCAGGAUGCUUCAAAUGGUCCUUGGGGCAAACGAGUGGCAGAAGGAGGACAAGAACAGAAAUGAUGUACGCAUUGAGGAAUAAAUGGGAAAGGAAGCUUGCUGCCGCCGUUUUGAAGGAGCUUGGGCUCAAAAAACAGUUUUGGCUGAUGCCGAGAUGCAGGUGUCCCGCAUCCAAACCAAAAUAAACUCUAUAAAGCAGUGAAACACAACACUCAGGCGUCGUGCGCGGGCUGAGAGUAUGUCGAGACAGUUGAGGUUGACUUACGAGCGGUUAAGAGAGAAUCUCAAUUGUGACAGAGUUCGGACCUCAUACCACUGAGCUUGCUAUCAGUUGAUAGAGAUCGCUCAUAUAUUCAAAUAUAUUCGCUUCUAUGUGCAUCUCCUUUUUAUUCGUAUUUGUGAAUGUCCGACUUAUUUGCAAUUUUUUUCGAGGACACUUUAUUUGCUGUGCAUUUUACUAACCCCUGCCUUCUAUUCUCUUUUUGAAUAACAUAAACACUACUGCUUAGUAUUCAAAUUGGAUUAAGUAGCUUCUUUAAUUUUUUUCAUGUGCCUACUAGGGAGUGACAGCCUCAGGCGACAUGUUUUCAGCCCGUCUUGACAUAAAACAUAGUUCUGCAUCACCCAGGGAAAUUUGCAAUAGCACUCAGGGAAAACCUGGAAAACUCAGGGAAUUUGGAAAUGUCAACUUGGUAGACACCCUGCAUUUAAUAAAGAAGGUACUGGUCAUUGUAGAUUUUCUGUCUUCAGCAUUUGUUCUGUUCCACAGCUGUUUCUUGAAAUCUGAAAUGAUGUACCCAUCACUUUGUUAGCGAUCAACAGGGAAAUCUGUCAGUAUGUUUUGUUUAAAAUGGAGCUGAUCAACCCAAUAGUUAGGCUAUUUGCUAAUUAUAAAUUACAAUGAUAAUAGUACAGGACCAUAAGAACAGACUGAUGCUGAAUAACAGCUGUGCCCAGCUACAUCCACGCAGGUUUGCCACACAAUGUGCAUGUGUUCAGAAGAGCCAAAUGCCCCAGAGAGAAAGCAACAGUAACUAAUUGUUCGUCAUCUUGUACAAGCAGAUUAUGCGCUAGAUGUAAAUCAUGCUCAGUAAAUACAUAAGUCAGUCAUGUGAGGUGUCUCACUUUUGGUUGCAAGUUGGAACUUAUUGCAAUCUUGGUUGUUUUUAUUUUGUUUCCUUUGUGAGCAUGAGUGACUUAGUUGCCUUGGCACAUAUUAUCAAAACUGUUUCUUCAUCACUGGGAAUCACAAAAUUUCAAUUACACAUAAAAUUUCCAGUUACUGAUAUGGUAGACUUCGAAGUUAAUUCUCUCAUCUACCAAGUAGUUUUAUCAUUCAUUGAAACAUAUCCAUGCAAUGCACAAUGGGAACCCAAAUUAUAAAUAUCUGUUCUUGCUUUCUACCCUGCUCUACAACAUUAUGAAGAUACAAAGCAAAACUAUAAGCUUACAAUUGUCCCCCAUAACCUGAGUUUCGCUUAGAAUUUGAAAAACAAAACUGACAUCCUGCUAUAGUGUGAGAGUUGCUUUGGGCACCAAGUGAACUGCGUAGCACCUGUGCUAGAGUACACAACAAAGCAGAAAAUCGCACCAGAUUGCAAUGGCAGUGGUAAGUUAAGAACAGAUGUUUUAUUUCACGCACCAUUAAUGUGGCCUAUCAUCUGCUCCUGUUUUGUGGGAACGCAUACAUUGGGAAGACAAUUUUUUGCACCAAUCUUACCUUAGUGGGACACUUGAGAAAGGUAGAAAUCAAGAACAGGUAUUCACACUUUGUUGCCCACAGUGUAUUUAUUAUCUGAAUGUGUUUCACUCUACAAAAGACUACUGUGGUAGAUAAUCAUAAAGACCAAGACAAAAGAAUUAAAAGAAGUAUGUGUCAGUCAUCCUUCCAUGAUCUCCCGUGUUUAUAGAAACACUUCUUUCUGCAUAUGUGCGAAAGUGUAGGGAAGCAUUACAUAACUCAGUCAUGCUUUCCAAGUUAAAAAUCGGAAUAAGGACGAUCACAAGAACAUUGUAUGAGUGAUUUGUAAAUGUGGCAUCUAAUGGAACUUAUUUACGCAUGUGCUGAGGGUACAUUACAGCCAGUGCAUAAUCUGUCUGCUCUUACAGGAUAGCUUGUGAUGAGUAAAAGAAGCCUUCCUCACAUUUUCCUCUUUGUUUCUUUUGGACCUCGGUGCACCAUGUGUAUUGUUACAGCUGCAUGCAUGCAGCUGGGUAUAGUUUAUGUGUUCUGCUAGCUCCCUUGUCCUCAUUAUUCAUGUGCUAUCUUUGCCGUAACAAAAUACUGCUACCUGUGCUACAUAUUUUGUCAGCGUGUUUGCAUUAUGGCAAGUUUUGUAUUAGUGGUUAUUGCAAUCUGCGAAAUUGUCUGUCAGCUAUCAUACUUCGUCUUGAAAAGUAUGUUUGUCAACAUAAAUAAACAAUUAGUAUAAAUUUUGCUCUAUUUAUUUUUGUAAUAUUAUCUGUUGUGAAGCUUUUAUACACUGUUGCAUGUUGUAUGACAAUAAAAUUGAUGCACAACUU